AUGAACGCUGGCGGCGUGCCUCAUACAUGCAAGUCGAGCGAACAGAUGAGGAGCUUGCUCCUCUGACGUUAGCGGCGGACGGGUGAGUAACACGUGGAUAACCUACCUAUAAGACUGGGAUAACUUCGGGAAACCGGAGCUAAUACCGGAUAAUAUAUUGAACCGCAUGGUUCAAUAGUGAAAGACGGUUUUGCUGUCACUUAUAGAUGGAUCCGCGCCGCAUUAGCUAGUUGGUAAGGUAACGGCUUACCAAGGCAACGAUGCGUAGCCGACCUGAGAGGGUGAUCGGCCACACUGGAACUGAGACACGGUCCAGACUCCUACGGGAGGCAGCAGUAGGGAAUCUUCCGCAAUGGGCGAAAGCCUGACGGAGCAACGCCGCGUGAGUGAUGAAGGUCUUCGGAUCGUAAAACUCUGUUAUUAGGGAAGAACAAAUGUGUAAGUAACUAUGCACGUCUUGACGGUACCUAAUCAGGAAGCCACGGCUAACUACGUG
rnacentral:rRNA from 1 species